GAUGAACGCUGGCGGCGUGCCUAAUACAUGCAAGUCGAGCGAACAGACGAGGAGCUUGCUCCUCUGACGUUAGCGGCGGACGGGUGAGUAACACGUGGAUAACCUACCUAUAAGACUGGGAUAACUUCGGGAAACCGGAGCUAAUACCGGAUGAUAUAUUGAACCGCAUGGUUCAAUAGUGAAAGACGGUUUUGCUGUCACUUAUAGAUGGAUCCGCGCCGCAUUAGCUAGUUGGUAAGGUAACGGCUUACCAAGGCAACGACGCGUAGCCGACCUGAGAGGGUGAUCGGCCACACUGGAACUGAGACACGGUCCAGACUCCUACGGGAGGCAGCAGUAGGGAAUCUUCCGCAAUGGGCGAAAGCCUGACGGAGCAACGCCGCGUGAGUGAUGAAGGUCUUCGGAUCGUAAAACUCUGUUAUUAGGGAAGAACAAAUGUGUAAGUAACUAUGCACGUCUUGACGGUACCUAAUCAGAAAGCCACGGCUAACUACGUG
rnacentral:rRNA from 1 species